GAAAUGCGAUAAGUAAUGUGAAUUGCAGAAUUCAGUGAAUCAUCGAAUCUUUGAACGCACCUUGCGCCCUUUGGUAUUCCGAAGGGCACGCCUGUUUGAGUGUCGUGAAAUUCUCAACCCUGCGCUUUUCUUGUGAAAGCGCGUGGGCUUGGACUUGGAGGCUUUGCUGGUCCUCGCGAAUCGGCUCCUCUCAAAUGCAUUAGCGAGACCCUUGUGGUGCCGCCCCCGGUGUGAUAAUUGUCUACGCCGUGGGUACACCGCGAUUGUGGGGGACCUGCUUCCAACCGUCGAAAGACAACUUCAUCGAAACUUGACCUCAAAUCAGGCGGGACUACCCGCUGAACUUAA
rnacentral:misc_RNA from 1 species